rnacentral:misc_RNA from 1 species
UCUCCGUUGGUGAACCAGCGGAGGGAUCAUUACAGAGUCGUAAAACACUACCAAACCCAUGUGAACUUACCUUUGUUGCCUCGGCAGGAUCUACCCGGUAGCUACCCUGUAACGGGUUACCCGGGAGCGGCCCCACCGGUGGACUUUUUAACUCUUGUUAUUUUAUGUAAUCUGAGAGUCUUAUUUUAAAUAAGUCAAAACUUUCAACAACGGAUCUCUUGGUUCUGGCAUCGAUGAAGAACGCAGC